UACGGAGGGUGCGAGCGUUGUCCGGAAUCAUUGGGCGUAAAGGGCGCGUAGGUGGCCCAGUCAGCGUGCGGUGAAAGCUCGGGGCUCAACCCCGAGUCGGCCGUGCGAACUACUGGGCUGGAGCACUGUAGAGGCAGGCGGAAUUCCGGGUGUAGCGGUGGAAUGCGUAGAGAUCCGGAAGAACACCAGUGGCGAAGGCGGCUCACUGGACCGGUAUUGACGCUGAGGUGCGAAAGCGUGGGGAGCAAACAGG
rnacentral:rRNA from 1 species